GUGGAUUCUAGUUUAUUUCAAAUUGUUCUUUAGAAAUUACAUAUUUCACAACACAAUUUGUUUGCCAGCAUUGCGAUUUUUAUCGAGUUGAUGGUGAUUUAAUGAUGAUCCUGGCAUCAGAUAAACCCAUGUUCCAAAGUAUCUCAGAAAUGCUCAAUUCGUUCUGUGUGCAGUAAGCUGUCAACAGAAUGAGGGAAAGGGAGACAGGGAAGGAGAAUUUGGUGGUGUGCAACCAAUGGGCUUGCCUGAUGUAUUUUUAAUGCACAUGAAUGAUUGAUCAUUGUAUAUGGACGCAUGCUUUCCUGUGGGGCGGCUGCAGUCUGGUGCUGUUGGUGCAGGUAUGAGUGCGGCCAGGGGACCUUCUGGACUGAGCAUGAACACUGUGGAGUUGAAGCAUCAGUGGGCAAUGCAGAGAAAUCGCACUCUGGUCCGGACGUACCUGCUCUCCAGUUCUGUGCUUCCACUUCCUGUCUCGUGGAGCAGAGAUUAUUUCAGACUUCCAUCAUUGUCCAGAUCAACACAUGGUCGGACCACCACAGUGCCUCUCAGUAUCAGUGAGCCCUGCUUGUUCACCCCAGGGCAGAGAGCUGUUUUCGAGGGGUUUUCAAAAAACCGCCGUCCCCUUCUACACAAACGUGGCCCAUCUUCUCCCUCCUGCAAGACCCUUGAGAACACAAAGGUACCUCAGCAGAGCUAUCAUCAAGUGUACAUGCAUUUCUCUCAGCCUCUGAAGCCUGUACCAAAGGUUGGACAGGCCUUUACUCACAGUCAGCGGCGGGCCACAGAGAACAGAGGACUGCAGGCAUUAGUGAGGCAGCACAAGCAGCCCAUAAACCUAGAGACUUUAUCUGUCAGAGGACAGACUUUCCUUCCCACCCAGCAUUUACCUACCUCUUCAUCUAGCGCGCCUCGCACACAGCUGCAUGUGUUCUUGCCUGCAGAGGGCGCCAGGCAAGAGGAAGACGGACAGUGAGUCUGUUGAUGAGGGUUUCAUGGAUGAGCUAGAUAAAGUCACCACUCUGAGACUUCAAGAUCCAAAGAUCCCCAAACAGAUAGAAAAAUCACUGACGGUCAAAUGGUGCAAUGAACUUCCUAGUGUCAUGCCUUUAUUGCAUUUCAUAUUUUGAUGUGUGUUGUAUGCUUCCACUGAUAACAGAAAUGACAAGUUCUGUAUUUACCAAUUUGAACACG
rnacentral:lncRNA from 1 species